UACGUAGGGGGCUAGCGUUGUCCGGAUUUAUUGGGCGUAAAGGGCGCGUAGGCGGCCAUGCGUGUCUUCCGUGAAAUCCCUCGGCUUAACUGAGGACGUGCGGAAGAAACUGCAAGGCUCGAGUCCGGGAGAGGGGGGUGGAAUUCCCAGUGUAGCGGUGAAAUGCGUAGAUAUCUGGAGGAACACCGGUGGUGUAGACGGCUCACUGGACCGUAACUGACGCUGAGACACGAAAGCGUGGGUAGCAAACAGG
rnacentral:rRNA from 1 species